CCUUCAUCAGUGACCCGGAAUCGUUGCUGAGUAUGAUACAGGUAAUGUACCUGCUCAAUUUAUUAGUGGCAGGUAGAGUUUUAAAUCAGGAUGUGGACCGUAGUGUUGUUCACUUAAUGAACUUCCAUGCACUGCUUCCUGAGAACCCUUUUAUGGCUUCUGUUGGCUCCAUAUGGCAUUCUGAUGAGCUUACACUUCUCCUUAAGUGCUUCUAUAUCAGAAAACAAGAGCAAAGCUGAAACAAAGUGAGUCAUCUGGUUUUGUCUUUGCUUUCACUGCAUGAGAUAAUGUGGAGGUGUUAAUUACAAGACUUCACUGAGUCUUGACUAAUAACAGUGUGCAAACAAACGCAUGUCAGGCUCAGCCACAGAAAAGCUUCUACUAAUAAGGUAAAACUAGCAAUUAGAGCUGACAAUGAAGUAAUACUUUCCGUUGAAUAUUCAUUAAUGAAGUUCUUGUUUGGGAGAAGGGAGGCUUCUGAUUGUCCAGAUGGAAACCUAGAAUAGGAACCCUGGCCAUUCCUUCUAAAUGAAUUAAACUCCCUUUGGUGAGCCGGCACACUGGAUUAAUUCCCUUUUGUACUAGUGCACUGACCCUUUGCUUCAAAGGCAGAGCCUUGAUGGCCACUAAGAUUCCUCAAUCCGUGACCGUGGCAUUAUAGGGAUAAAUUGAAUUCCCAGAAGGAGAAAGAUGAUAGUGACCAUAGAACGUUACCAACAGUGUGCUGGAAAUACUGCAUGUUUUAUUUAAAUUCUUCUCUACAGCUUCUAGGGUUUCAAGAAGGAAGUGUGAUUAGCUCAUUAACCUGACUGAGCCAUAUCACUUAGCUUACAGUUCCUCUUCCCCUUCCCUUCUCUCUUUCUCUCUCUCUCUCUCUCUCUCUCUCUCUUUUUUUUCAGAAAGCAGUCUGACCUGUGUGGUAUAUGUAAUAUGAGCUGUGUUUGGUUUUUGUCCUUAUUUCCUGUUGCAGAGCUCCUGGAAUUUCCUGAGUAUUAGAAGCAUCUUUUGUUAUUCAUAAUGCACAUCUUUGAUAGUUCCUGAGUUUAUGCUAAUGAGGAGACUCAGGGUGGGUGCCCUGAACCUCAGGAUGGGGCUGACCACCAGAAAGACCAGUGCCUGACAACAUUAUAGGGUUGGAACUUUUAGCCUCCUUUAUCCAUGAUGGGAAGAGGAAAGGGAGCUAGAGACUAUGCUCUGAAAACAAACAAAACAAAACAAAAAAGUCUUGUUGAAUAACAAUAUUUGAUGAGUUUCUGGGUUGCUAAACACAUAGAGAGCUGGGAGAGUGGCUCACCCAGAGAGGUCACAAGAGCCAGCUUCCUUCACCCAAGCCUCACCCCAUCUAUCUCUUUAUCUGUUUUUUCAUCUGUAUCCUUUAUGAUAUCUUUUAUAAUAAGUGACAAAUGUAAAUAAGCGUUUUCUCAAGCUCUGUGAGCCAUUCUAGUAAAUCAAUUGUAAAUUAAUUGAAUUCAGGGGUGGGGGUUGUUGUGAUUGUAAUCGGUCAGUCAGAAGCACAGAUAGCUGGGGUUGGGGUGUAACUCAGCCAUAGAGUGCCUGAUUAACAUGUGCUGGGUCCUGGGUUCAAGCUCCCACACUGAAACUAAACAAAACAACAGCAAAAUCUCCAAACAAAACGAAACAAUUAGAGGUAGCCUGGACUUGGAAUUGGCAUCAGAAUUGGGUACAGUCAAAUAGAAUUAAGUCUUUAACCUGUGGGAUCUGACACUGUCUCUGAGCAGUGUUAGAACUGAUGAAUUCCAGGAUACCUAGCUGGUGUCCCCGGAGAAUUGCUCUGUGUGUGGAAAUAGCCUCAUGUAUUUUUCACAAACGUGUUCUGGGUUGAGUAUGAGAGUAGGAUUGUUCAGAAACACGUUGUGUGUUUUCCUUCAGUGACAUCCUUCCUUGAGCAUAUGAGAGUCCCUGCUUUCACAAAGGAAAGAAGCCUCCCCCAAAGCCAACCUUGGUAGUCUAAGGCUCUUCUACACAUGGUAUUAUUAUUUCUGAAACAUGUUCCCAAGUUAUACUACCUGGGUAAUGUAUGACCGUUUUUAGACUUUCUUAGUAAAGAUGCCCAAAUGAAAAACUUUAUUGAUAAAAAGUAUUCUAUUUAAGUGUACUUUAAUAGCUCUAUGCACAUAUGAGAAAAUACACAGGGAAUGUAGUUUUUGGAUUGUAGAAUCAAAAAAAAUCUUCUAUAGGGAUAAAUCCUUAGGAUAUCAGAAUUUUAGAAUGGAUCAUGGCCUGUGUAAAAUAAAACGCUCUGCUUUGAUGUCUUGACUGCUAAAAUCCUGAUUUGGUGGAUGUAGUUCUGGGCUCAAAUUCAAAAGUUACAGUCCCAAACUUCGUUGCAAUUAGAGAUGGUCACAUAACACACAUUUGGUCAAUGAUGUAUUAAGGAAGUUACUUAAAGCUACUAAAAAUAGGACAGAAGCAGCUAGCCUUUGUAUGUUCUGUAGUAGCUGGAACCUACUAGCUGUUUUGUAGUGGACCAUGAGUUAAGGGUGAAGACCACCAUAGAGCUAGCAAUAAUGGUCUAGACCUCUCUUUAUAUGAGCUCCAACAACCUUGAGCAUGCUCUUUCUCUCUCUCGCUCUUUCUCUCUCUCUCUCUCUCUCUCUCUCUCUCUCUCACACACACACACACACACACACUGUUCAAACCAUUAACUUUCAGUUAUUUUGCACAGCCAAAUGUAAUUCCUAAUUGAAAUAGGAUAUGGUAUCAGAACUGGUAGGAGGAAUUUGUGGAGGGAUGUUUUAAGUAACAAAAUAUUAAAUGCUAAUUUACUUAAAAGAGGAGGUGGGAUAGUGAAGAUAGACAUUACAGACCGGUAUAGGCAGGUGAUCUGUAUUGAAUGGGGCUUAUCAUUUUUGUAGCCUCUAAGAAAGAAAUCUACUGACUUUCUGAUAUAGGACGUUGGCAUUUGCUGGACCCUCUUGCUGCUUUUAGUAAAGCUCUAAGGAAGAGAAGAACCCACUUAAGAGACACCCAAUUUACAGACAGAUCUGGAAGAAAAUAUAGUGCUGCCAUAAGAGAUACUUCUUUUACCCUAAACUUGUAAUCCAGGUUGUUUGAGAAUUCCAAAAUCUGGGCUUUUUUUUUUUUUUUUUUUUUUAAGCUGGAACUUAUGUUUGAGAACUGGAACAGAAACCCAAAAUACAAUGUAAUGUAAAGUAGGAAAAUAGAAACCGUGUUCUGUCUUAAGUAAUGUUCAGGUAUAAGAUGGAUGAGCCUAGUAUGUGGCUCCAGGUUGCCUUUUUGUCUGUCUGCUUCUCAGUCUCACUCCUUGUGGAAGUCACCCCAGAUGACUUUCAGGCACCUAGACAUUUGGCAGGCAGGAUAAGAAAGAGGGAAGGAGAGCGUGCUCUUCCCUUUACAUGUGAUAUAUUCUGGAAGUCACACACAUUAUUUCUACAUUUCAUUAGACAGAAUUUCAUUUUAUGGCCGUCGUGAACUACAAAGUCUUUCAUUUGGGCCACUAUGUUCUUGGCUAAAGGUCAUGGAUUCUAGUAUGAUGGAAAGUGGGGCAAAACUGAGAUUGCCUCUUGUGUUGUAAAGUUCUCCCCUGAGAUAUAAACCAGUUAGGAUUACGAUAUCACAAAGUUAAGACACUUUGACAUAUUGAGUACUUUAAACUAAAGAAGCAGUUACAAAAUCAAGAUAUCUCUGACCUUCUUACACCCUUCUGCUCCUUGCCACUCUGUCUUUCCCAAAGUACCCAGAGAAGGCUUUUGAGGAAGAUUCCUCAUCUCAUCCAGAGAAAUUUUUGCAGAAGUAAUGCAAUCGUCAAGAGCACACUCCCUAUAAAGUCAUCAAACAGGGAAGAUUAUCUCACAGGAAAGAUGACCAGAGCUGACACCACACCCAGAACCCAGAUGGUUUUAUCACAGUCUAAGGUCUGUUCUUAGGCAAAUUCAUCUUCUGUAAAAGUAAUUCACUCUUGCUGGGCAGGUGGUGCAUACCUGUAAUCUCAGCAGCUUGGGGGGCUGAGGCAGGAGGAUUGCAAGCACAAAGCCAGCCUCAGCAAUUUAGCAAGGUCCUGAGCAAUUUAGGGAGACCUUGUCUCAAAAUAAAAAAUAAAAACAGGCUAGUGAUGUGGCUUAGUGGUUAAAAGCCCUUGAGUUCAAUCCCUGGUAUCAACAACAACAAUAACAAAGAUUUACUCUUCCUCUAUUUCCACUACUAAGAGGGUAUAUAAGCUUCUAAUCUCUUUGGGUUUGAGGGAACUCACUUUCAUUUUUGUGAUGUUCCCAUGCUUACGGUGCAAUGAACUCACGUGCCUUUUCUCCUGUUAGAAUGUCCAUUGCCAGUUUAUUCCAAAAGACUCAAUUAUUAAACCUUUAGAAGGUGGAGGGGAAGUUUCUUUUGCCCCAUACAUACCUUUUCUGUUCUUCUAAAAAUCCUUCCUUGAGAAGCUCUUCAUAUCAUUCUUGAGUUGCCUUUGACUUCACAUGUAAAAAAUAUUGUCAUGAACCCGAUGAUAAAAUACUGUUUAUAUUUUGUUUUUCAGUUAAGGAAAAGAGUGUUGGUGUUGGGGUGUUCCUUGGCAAUACCAACCAAGAAAAAUAACAACAACAACAAAAGCCUAAAACUCUUUUGAGGAAAUCUGGAAUAGCAGAUGCUCUGGUUUGGAUGUGCUGGAGUUCAUCCCCCUAACACUUCAUGUAUAAGAAGCUUGGACUCUGGUGUGGCAGUGUUGGAAGGUGGUAGCCCCUUAAAGAGGUGGGGUGUAGUGGGAGGUGAUUAGAUCAUCGGGAGUGCUGCCUUCAGAAUGGAUUACUGUAGCUUUUAUGGGACCCCAUUUAGUUCCUGUGAGAGGGGGCUAUUAGAAAAGAAUAGGUCCUGGUCACUAGCUUCUACAUCAUGAGGCUAUCUGCCACGGGACCUUCACCCGAGCCAAGCAGAUUCUGCACCAUGCUCUUGGACCUUCAGAAUUGUGAGCUAAAUAAACCUC
rnacentral:lncRNA from 1 species